CCAGACUCCUACGGGAGGCAGCAGUGGGGAAUAUUGCGCAAUGGGGGCAACCCUGACGCAGCCAUGCCGCGUGAAUGAAGAAGGCCUUCGGGUUGUAAAGUUCUUUCGGUGAUGAGGAAGGUUGGUGUGUUAAUAGCAUGCCAACUUGACGUUAAAUACAGAAGAAGCACCGGCUAACUCCGUGCCAGCAGCCGCGGUAAUACGGGGGGUGCUAGCGUUAAUCGGAAUAACUGGGCGUAAAGGGCACGUAGGCGGACCUUUAAGUGAGGUGUGAAAUCCCCGGGCUUAACCUGGGAAUUGCAUUUCAUACUGGGGGUCUGGAGUACUUUAGGGAGGGGUAGAAUUCCACGUGUAGCGGUGAAAUGCGUAGAGAUGUGGAGGAAUACCGAAGGCGAAGGCAGCCCCUUGGGGAUGUACUGACGCUGAUGUGCGAAAGCGUGGGGAGCAAACAGGAUUAGAUACCCUGGUAGUCCACGCUGUAAACGGUGUCGAUUUGGGGAUUGGGGUUUAGCCCUGGUGCCCGAAGCUAACGUGAUAAAUCGACCGCCUGGGGAGUACGGCCGCAAGGUUAAAACUCAAAUGAAUUGACGGGGGCCCGCACAAG
rnacentral:rRNA from 1 species